GCCAGCAUAGUUCAGUAGUUUGAACACUGGACUGUGACUCUGGAAACCAGGGUUCAAAUCCAUGCUCAGCCA